CCUACGGGUGGCAGCAGUGAGGAAUAUUGGUCAAUGGACGCAAGUCUGAACCAGCCAUGCCGCGUGAGCGAUGAAGUAUUUCGGUAUGUAAAGCUCUAUCAGCAGGGAAGAAAAUGACGGUACCUGACUAAGAAGCCCCGGCUAACUACGUGCCAGCAGCCGCGGUAAUACGUAGGGGGCAAGCGUUAUCCGGAUUUACUGGGUGUAAAGGGAGCGUAGACGGUCCUGCAAGCCAGAUGUGAAAGCCCGGGGCUCAACCCCGGGACUGCAUUUGGAACUGUAAGGCUAGAGUGUCGGAGAGGCAGGCGGAAUUCCUAGUGUAGCGGUGAAAUGCGUAGAUAUUAGGAGGAACACCAGUGGCGAAGGCGGCCUGCUGGACGAUGACUGACGUUGAGGCUCGAAAGCGUGGGGAGCAAACAGGAUUAGAUACCCGAGUAGUC
rnacentral:rRNA from 1 species